GUUAUUAAUAACAGCCCAGCGAGUCUCCUGAGCCACCUAGGAGCAGAUGGUGUUUUUCACAAAAGAGAGAGAUCACCUCCUUGACUUUGGACUUCGCUUAUCAAACCCCUAAACAGAACCAAGGUUGCUAAGAGACCACCUGUUCUGAAUGCACUUUGUCCUAGGAAGAGCAGCCAGAGAGAAAACCGAGGCGCAGCAUUAUCUACCACUACCCGGAUUAAAUCAGGAAGCAGAAGCAUUUUGGAUAUGACAUG